rnacentral:ribozyme from 1 species
AAAACGUGGGUGUCCCAAAGAAGACGGGAAGAGCGGAAAAAAGAAAAAAAAAAAAGAAA